rnacentral:rRNA from 1 species
AGAGUUUGAUCCUGGCUCAGGAUGAACGCUGGCGGUAUGCUUAACACAUGCAAGUCGAACGGAGUACUUCGGUACUUAGUGGCGGACGGGUGAGUAACGCGUGAGAAUCUGCCUUCAGGUUCGGGACAACCACUGGAAACGGUGGCUAAUACCGAAUGUGCAGCAAUGUGAAAAAUUUAUUGCCUGAAGAUGAGCUCGCGUCUGAUUAGCUAGUAGGUGUGGUAAGAGCGCACCUAGGCGACGAUCAGUAGCUGGUCUGAGAGGAUGAUCAGCCACACUGGGACUGAGACACGGCCCAGACUCCUACGGGGGGCAGCAGUGGGGAAUUUUCCGCAAUGGGCGAAAGCCUGACGGAGCAAUACCGCGUGAGGGAGGAAGGCUCUUGGGUUGUAAACCUCUUUUCUCAAGGAAGAAAAAAAUGACGGUACUUGAGGAAUAAGCAUCGGCUAACUCCGUGCCAGCAGCCGCGGUAAUACGGAGGAUGCAAGCGUUAUCCGGAAUGAUUGGGCGUAAAGCGUCCGCAGGUGGCUAUGUAAGUCUGCUGUUAAAGAGUCUGGCUCAACCAGAUAAAGGCAGUGGAAACUACAUGGCUAGAGUGCGUUCGGGGCAGAGGGAAUUCCUGGUGUAGCGGUGAAAUGCGUAGAGAUCAGGAAGAACACCAGUGGCGAAGGCGCUCUGCUAGGCCGUAACUGACACUGAGGGACGAAAGCUAGGGGAGCGAAUGGGAUUAGAUACCCUAGUAGUCC